rnacentral:rRNA from 1 species
GAUGAACGCUGGCGGUGUGCCUAAUACAUGCAAGUCGAGCGAACAGACGAGGAGCUUACUCCUCUGACGUUAGCUGCGAACGGGUGAGUAACACGUGGAUAACCUACCUAUAAGACUGGGAUAACUUCGGGAAACCGGAGCUAAUACCGGAUAACAUUUGGAACCGCAUGGUUCAACAUUGAAAGACGGUCUUGCUGUAAUUUAUAGAUGGAUCGGCUUCUAAUUAGCUAUUUGUGAAGGUAACGGCUUACUAAGGCAACGAUCCGUAGCCGACCGGAGAGGGUGAUCGGCCACACUGGGACUGAGACACGGCCCAGACUCCUACGGGAGGCAGCAGUAGGGAAUCUUCGGCAAUGGGGGGAACCCUGACCGAGCAACGCCGGGUGAGUGAAGAAGGUUUUCGGAUCGUAAGGCUCUGUUGUAAGGCAAGAACGAGUUUGAGAGUGGAAAGUUCACGCUGUGAGGGUAGCUUACCAGAAAGGGACGGCUAACUACGUG